rnacentral:rRNA from 1 species
GACGAACGCUGGCGGCGUGCCUAAUACAUGCAAGUAGAACGCUGAAGCGAGGAGCUUGCUCUUCUUGGAUGAGUUGCGAACGGGUGAGUAACGCGUAGGUAACCUGCCUGGUAGCGGGGGAUAACUAUUGGAAACGAUAGCUAAUACCGCAUAAAAUUGAUUAUUGCAUGAUAAUUAAUUGAAAGAUGCAACUGCAUCACUACCAGAUGGACCUGCGUUGUAUUAGCUAGUUGGUGAGGUAACGGCUCACCAAGGCGACGAUACAUAGCCGACCUGAGAGGGUGAUCCGCCACACUGGGACUGGGACACGGCCCAGACUCCUACGGGAGGCAGCAGUAGGGAAUCUUCGGCAAUGGGGGGAACCCUGACCGAGCAACGCCGCGUGAGUGAAGAAGGUUUUCGGAUCGUAAAGCUCUGUUGUAAGGGAAGAACGGGUGUGAGAGUGGAAAGUUCACACUGUGACGGUAUCUAACCAGAAAGGGACGGCUAACUACGUG